UCCUUCUGCCUCAAAAGAGCUCUGCUAUAAUCAUGUGAUCCACACGCUGGGUCACGUGAUAAUGCUAGCCGAGUUUAGCGUGGAAGGAGAUCAAAGCGCUCUGCACUGUAAAUGAGAUGUGGUCGAACCUCUUUCUUAAUGUUCUUUGGCCGCCGUCUCGAGGUGCAGAGCUACAGAU
rnacentral:snoRNA from 1 species